UGGGGAAAAGCCUGGCAGCUCAACAACCUGAGGCCCAAGAUGGUGAUCGCUGCACUGCCGCGAACUGCUCCCACUGCCGGGCAAUGAGGAGAAACGGCUGUCGCCUUCCACAGGGAGCCUGCCUUGAUCUCUGUGAUCAGGAAUGUGGCUGAGCAAAUGGAGCUUGUACCUCCAGGAUGGACGUGCCUCCCAGAUGCUAGUUGCUAGAAGAGUCCUGGCAGUGGAGGGAAAGUUGGCUCUGCACUGAAGGCUCCACAUAAAGGGCUCAAAACGUCUGGUUCAGUGGUUAAAAGCUGUUCACAGGGAUGACUGGAACCCACUAAGCAUUCUUUCAUCUGUAGUGAACAUUUCACCAAAAAAAGCUCUUGGAAAGGCUGGAGGGUCAGUACUACGUGCUCAAGCCAUGGCCGUGCCCUCAAUCUUCCACCCAACUGAGA